CAACAGUUUCUACUGCAAUUUUGUGACUUUAUGAAACGUUGUUGUGUUGUUAUUCGAUGCUUUUGCACUGAAUCAGCUGUUCAACGUCGUAAAUGGUAAGAAAAAAGGAACGUAGGCGUAUUAGGCGGUUCGCCUUCGACAUGAAAGCACUUUGCUGGGGUCCACAAAGCGCUAGGCGAUUAUUUAAGCUUUUGCUAUCGAGGAUGACUUCGCCACUUUCGCGUCCUGACGCACAUUCAACUCCUUACCUGUCGAAGUCUAAUGUUUCAAAUCGUCAUUCAUCUAGUGACGCGGAAAACUCACAAAAGAAGACAGCAUUAUCGGCAUGGACGAAAUGAGUGAAGAGUUUUAAAGGCGAGGCACCUGACGAGGGAAAAGGAUGAAAAACGUCGAGAAAUCCUAGAAUACGCUAAAGAUCUUUACGAUAUGAAAAACGUUUUCAUCGACUUCCUUCGUCGCCAAAAAUAGUAUUAAUACUAUAUACAUAUAUACAUAUUUCUGAAUUCGGAAAGAGUG